GACAUUUAAUUCUAUUGUCUUACCUUUGCAGGGAAAUAAGUAGUUUUUGCUCUUGCAUUUGUUAGCUUGUUUUCUUUUUGAGUUUUGGUGAAGCACAAGAAGUACCUGAAAACAGAAUGUACUUUUGUCUCCAGUAUACAUUCCUGAAUCCAACAAGAAGCCUAUUUAUCAUGCUAGGUGGACUCCCAAGGAAAAAAGAAAGAGAAAUGAAGCUGGAGAAGAGAUGGAAGAGGAUGGCAUGCCAGACAAAUCCUGACUCUGUCUUGGAGAAUCUCCCUGCCCAAGACAUCCCUGCCCCUGGUGGGCUCUUACAGAAGAUUUAACAUCUUUUGAAGUGGUGUUUAGGGCCCAGGUCUUGACUUCUUCAUCUCUGCAGGGAGGAUCUUGGUGGUUUGCCAUUGCUUCAGUCUCUUCCCACCUGGUUCCGGGACUCAGCUACUGAACUCUCCCGAAGCAAAGUGGCAGCACCUCGGAGCCCGGCUUCUCCACCUAUGAAGCCCUCCUAGCUUCCCAUUUGUACUGCAAGAGAGAUUUUCCAGAUAAAUGCAGCGGGUACCUCCCUCACCCUGACUGAUAGACACUGGCUUCAGUGCCAGGAAACAGUCUUACGUCUGCUCCUGCAACGAGGGUGAUAAUUUUUAUUGAUCUCAGCCUUUGUACAGAGCUUACAGUGUAGGCCUGCGGAAGAACAAGCUGAUGAAAAUAAAGACGGUGAGUUGCCAGCUUGUAUUUGUCCUUAUCUCCAAGGAAAAACAAACACAGUCUCAGGGAGCGGCUUCUCCACUCCGAGACAAAUGGGCUGUUGAAGUGUCACGUGAUUCUGACAUCAGCCAGAUACAUCGAGGAUCCUCUGCUGUUCAGCCCUAGGGUAUCUGUCAUAAAUAAGAAAUGGCUUGUGUGGUCUGUGUUAAGACUUUGACUUGGGACCCACCAUGCUGUCUUCUAAGACACAGAGUCUUGAAAGAAACGGCGUAGUACUUUUCGAACCCUUCUCUUCUAAGGUGCCUGCCACGUGUAAUCAGUCUUUCAUAAGGCGCCAUUUGGGCAGCCUUUGCUCAGCCCUGUGUCAGUCACGACAGCCUCUGAGACGUGUUUUAUGAGCAGAAUGAGAAGGAGGGCGGGAGGGGUCCUCUGGCUCUUCUCGUUAUCGUCUUCCCUACCUGGCUUUCUCUUUCUGCUUCUCCUUCCCCAUUUGCCUACUUUAACCACCACCACCAACCACGGAGGAUGCAAAGGUGAAUGUGUGCCAACCACCAACCACUAUGCAAAGGUGAAUGAGUAGUGUGUUUUUGGGGGGGUCUAAAAAAGCUGUAAAGUCUUUGGCUAGACUACUUUUUGUUAAAUUCUUAAAUAAAUUAUACUCAGCAUCCCAAAUGGGCACUCAAAAAAAUAAAACAAG
rnacentral:lncRNA from 1 species